rnacentral:rRNA from 1 species
UACAGAGGUCUCAAGCGUUGUUCGGAUUCAUUGGGCGUAAAGGGUGCGUAGGUGGCGCGCUAAGUCAGGUGUGAAAUUUCGGAGCUUAACUCCGAAACUGCAUUUGAUACUGGCGUGCUUGAGGACUGGAGAGGAGACUGGAAUUCAUGGUGUAGCAGUGAAAUGCGUAGAUAUCGUGAGGAAGACCAGUGGCGAAGGCGGGUCUCUGGACAGUUCCUGACGCUGAGGCGCGAAGGCCAGGGGAGCAAACGGGG